rnacentral:rRNA from 1 species
CAGUAGCCGCGGGAAUACGUAGGGCGCAAGCGUUAUCCGGAAUUAUUGGGCGUAAAGAGCUCGUAGGCGGUUUGUCGCGUCUGCCGUGAAAGUCCGGGGCUCAACCCCGGAUCUGCGGUGGGUACGGGCAGACUAGAGUGAUGUAGGGGAGACUGGAAUUCCUGGUGUAGCGGUGAAAUGCGCAGAUAUCAGGAGGAACACCGAUGGCGAAGGCAGGUCUCUGGGCAUUAACUGACGCUGAGGAGCGAAAGCAUGGGGAGCGAACAGGAUUAGAUACCCCCGUAGUCCUGUCUCUUAUACA